UCUAGAAAACUGUCUUCACUCGAUGAUGUGGAGAAUGGUUGUCUUUCCUUCCUGGGAGUCGUUCAGCCGAUCUCAUCCCAGGACCACCCAUCUGGAGGGAGGGCUUCGGAUCUCCUGUUUCAUCACACAGUCUUCCAAAGUCAUUGGACAUCUAAUUGUUAAGUCACCUGAUAUUAAGCCUGCUUCAUUAAUUGAUCUGUUCAAAUAGACUUAAAUGAACCCUAGCAUGACCUCUAUACAUCCCAAAGUUCAUUCAGCCGUUUGUUUGUUUUACACCUGUCAGUGGGAGCUCCUAUGGGAAGGAUGGCUGAGUUCAUCAACUGGUCAGAGCCAAUCUGUGACAAAGCGGAUCUCCGGACAGAGGUAGACGCAUCUGUUAAAGGACAUGUGAAAACAUGGAUGGGCAUCUGUGACCAUUUGUGUGCCUGUCACUUGAGGCUUUCCGUGGGACUGCUCAUGGCACACGUGCUGCUGGAUACAGAGACAAAGAAUACAUCAUUGCUUGUGUCUGGCCAAAAGGGGCUUCAGUGUUGGCUGCCCUCAAUGUGUGGCUGCUAAAUAAUGUCAAAUAAAAGAAUAACAUGUAUGAAGUUU